rnacentral:rRNA from 1 species
AUGAACGCUAGCGGCAGGCUUAACACAUGCAAGUCGAGGGGUAUAUGUCUUCGGAUAUAGAGACCGGCGCACGGGUGCGUAACGCGUAUGCAAUCUACCUUUUACAGAGGGAUAGCCCAGAGAAAUUUGGAUUAAUACCUCAUAGUAUAGCUCUACCGCAUGGUAGUACUAUUAAAGUCACAACGGUAAAAGAUGAGCAUGCGUCCCAUUAGCUAGUUGGUAAGGUAACGGCUUACCAAGGCAACGAUGGGUAGGGGUCCUGAGAGGGAGAUCCCCCACACUGGUACUGAGACACGGACCAGACUCCUACGGGAGGCAGCAGUGAGGAAUAUUGGACAAUGGGCGCAAGCCUGAUCCAGCCAUGCCGCGUGCAGGAUGACGGUCCUAUGGAUUGUAAACUGCUUUUGUACGAGAAGAAACACUGCUUCGUGAAGCAGCUUGACGGUAUCGUAAGAAUAAGGAUCGGCUAACUCCGUGCCAGCAGCCGCGGUAAUACGGAGGAUCCAAGCGUUAUCCGGAAUCAUUGGGUUUAAAGGGUCCGUAGGCGGUUUAGUAAGUCAGUGGUGAAAGCCCAUCGCUCAACGGUGGAACGGCCAUUGAUACUGCUGAACUUGAAUUAUUAGGAAGUAACUAGAAUAUGUAGUGUAGCGGUGAAAUGCUUAGAGAUUACAUGGAAUACAAAUUGCGAAGGCAGGUUACUACUAAUUGAUUGACG